rnacentral:rRNA from 1 species
ACGUAGGGGGCGAGCGUUGUCCGGAUUUAUUGGGCGUAAAGAGCUCGUAGGCGGUUUCGUAAGUCGGAUGUGAAAACUCCAGGCUCAACUUGGAGACGCCAUUCGAUACUGCGAUGACUUGAGUCCAGUAGGGGAGUGUGGAAUUCCUGGUGUAGCGGUGAAAUGCGCAGAUAUCAGGAGGAACACCGGCGGCGAAGGCGAGCUUCUGGGCUGUCUCUGACGCUGAGGCGCGAAAGCUGGGGGAGCAAACAGGA